AGAUGUUGAAACACUACAGUAGAAAAGAACUGAUGGAGAGGGAACCUGCUGUGAAGGAAGCCAGCACUCUUUAUGGAGAGUCAGAUUCUGGCAGAGUUCAGUCUUAUAUCUGUCAAAGACCUACAAACCGAAUUAUUUCUAGAACUGGACCGUUGACAUCUCAGAGCCUAAGGGGGAGACAUUGGCUCUAAACUUAAGAAGAUUCUGCAACAGAAUUUCAACAUUCAACAUUGAAAAUAAUAAAUCUGACAUCAUUGGGAGACGAACAGCAGUUCUUGAUGGCCUUCCACUCCUCCUUGGAGAAGACCCCACUGAUUUUUACAAGACAUGUAUUG